CAUUGGUCCCUUUAGAAUCAAACACUGGCAAUGUAACUUUAAUCAUAGGGCUAUUUACUUUUUUUCCGCUACAAUCUUGCAAAUUUUCAAAAAGAUUAUGUGAAACUGCAGUUAACAAUCUGUAAAUUGUGUCUCUUCAGACUAAAUUGUUCUUUGCUGUUGAUGAAAGGCUGUAAAAGCAUUCUGGUUUUUAGUCCUUAGAUGAGUUAAAACUGAUGGUGACUCUAGCUAAACUGAAACAAACUGUCUUUAUCUCAUCUGACCUUUUUUAGGAGAUGUUUAUGUAUCUUUCUUACAUUAUUAGAGUACAUAGUUUAGUUGGAGGACAGGACAGGGGCAUUCUUGUUGCAUGUUGUUGAUUGAGAAAGAAGCAAGCAAGUGGCCUUAUCCUUAUGAUGCUUGGUGAAGCAAUUAGCAUUGUGGAAUCAAUGUUAUAAAAACCGGCUCCGCAUAACCUAUUGCAGGCAUCUAAAAAUCUAGAUUAGGUCUAACCCAGACACAGUUUCAACAGAUACCUUGACUAUGAAUAAUAGUUUCAAUAAGGAAGACAGAAUGAGUUCUGACACGAUGGUUGGGAGCUGUGACAGGCAGACGAAAAAUGGAGCCAAAUGGCAUGGAGGUGUGUCAUCACUGCUGGAUUUUACCUUGAUCUACAUUCAGUUAUCUACUUCUUUUCAAAAUGCUGGGCAUUCAUUCAAGAAACAGCAUAUAUGUUCUGACUUUGAAGUAAUGGAUGAACUGUCAUGUGCAGUAUAUGGAAAUAAGUUUUAUUACCUUCUUCCCACAUUAACUCAUCCAUCCAUUCAAUAGCCAUUUAUUGAGAAGCUCACUCUGUGUUAGGCACAGUGGUGUCAUGAUGUUGGAACAGUAACAAUAACUCAACCAACCAGGGCUUGUCUGAAUACAAUCCUACAGCAGCAGGAGCUGUGGAGAUAUAGAAGGCAAGGAAGACCAGGUUGUGAGGGAAGACGAAUUUACUCCCAGGAAUGUUGGGAUUGAGAGUAAUAUUCUCCAAUAAUGGUGGAAGACAGAACAAUAAAAGCCCACCAGCUCCUUCUGCAUGGUGGGAUAAGAGAAAAGCCAAGGGCAGAAGUGAGAAAAAUAACCAUCACCAAACUGAAAAGAAAACCUUUAUAAAAAAACUGGAUUGAUAAAUGACCUUUAGUAGUGGAAAGAUACCAUUCCAAUGAAGCAUGAAUUGAAAGGAUUUCUUCUGAAAGCUAAUUUACAUUUUUCUUUUUUUUUUUUUCAUUUUCAGUGUGUUUUAGCAGGUGUAUUGUUCUACAUGGUUAGUUUCUUUACCUCUUUGAGAAAAAUGGGUCAGCUUGACACAUCUGGAUGAAAGAAUCCGUUAGGUGAUUAUGAUUGAAGACAGAUUAAGCCUUGUUAUGAGGGGAAUAUUUGGGGGCUUACCCUGAGGUGAUAUUUGAUGAUUUAGCUGUGGGAGAAUUUCCCUCCCAAGAUCAGCGUGACUGACACUGAAAUUGCUACAGGGGAACCGGACCUUUCCAAGAGGUGACAAGGACAUUUACCUGGUACAACACAAUGGUUCUGGACUGGAAGUCUAGUCCCAUUGAUGAAGUUCCCAAAAGAUGUCCAGGUCCUAAUCCCUGGAAUCUGUGAAUAUGUCAUCUUACACAUCAAAAGAACUUUGAAAAUGUGAUUGAGGUUAAGGACCUUGGAAUGAGGAGAUUACCUUGGAUUAUCUGGUUGGGUCCAAGCUAAUCACAUGAGUCCUUAAAGGAGAAGAACCUUUUUUAGCUGGGUCAGAGAGAGAUGUGAUGAUGAAAACAGGCUCAGGGAGAUGCACUGUAAGAAGGGCUUGACCAGUUGUUUUUGACUUUGAAGAUGGAGGGAAGGGCCAGGAGCCAAGGAAGGUGGGUGGCUUUUGGAAGGUGGAAAAAGCAAGGGAACAUUCUCUCCAGAGCCUCCAGAAAGGAGCUCAGCCCUGUUGACAUCUUUGUUUUUAUUUUUUAUUUUUAGUAGCAUUGAGGUCUCACUAUGUUGCACAGGCUGGUCUUGAACUCUUGAGCUCAAGCACUCCUCCCGCCUUGGCUUCCCAAAGUGCUGGGAUUAUAGGCAUGUGCCACCACAUCUGGCUUCCUACUGACAUCUUAACUUUAGUGCAGUGAGACUCAUAUUUGAAUUUCUGACCUUAUAUUAUAGAACCAUAAGACAUUAUAGAAUUAUAUAGAAUUAUAGAACCAUAAGACAAUAACUUUGUGUUGUUUUAAGAUACUAAAUUUUUGGUAAUUUGUUAUGGCAGCACAAUAAAACCAAUAUAGCAUUAUAUUAUGCCAAUAUCAUCUCUUUGUUGACUAUUGCUAUUAUAGUUUGUUUUAUGGGUCUUGUGUAAACAAUCAAGCUAUAAUAUUGGGUUAACUCCCUAAGGAAAACUUGGAAUAUAGAACAUUAUUUUAAAGACUGAAUUAGGUAAAUACACCUGCCAGUGAAUACAUUAACAAAUUAAUUAAUAUAUUCACUCUUUUCACUCACAAAUACUUUUUGAGCCCCUAUUACUAGCCAAACAUUUUGUUAGAUUCUGAGAAGGGUCUGCUAGACAACAUUGUGACUAUAGUUAAUAACAAUAUAUUGUACUCUUGAAAAUUACUAAGAGAGUAGAUUUUAAGUGUUCUCACCACAAAAAAUAAGUAUGUGAGGUAAUGCAGAUGUUAGUUAGCUUGAUUUAGCCAUUCCCCAGUGUAUACAUAUUUCAAACCUUCAUAUUAUACAUGGAUAAAUAUAUACAAUUUUUAUUUGUCAAUUAAAAGCCCCUCGAUGAAUACAGUUUCCAUUCUGUCCUUGAGGUGGAGCUUGUAGACUUGGUGGGGUCCGGGGAUCAACUUUUAAACAGGCAGUUCCAAAGUGUGGAGUGGAUAGGCUUAUUCUCUUUGUUGCUUUUAUGAUAGGUAUUUAGAAUGCACUUUCCUCUGUUAAGUUAAGCCAGCCACCAUUCCCUCAUUCAGUUUCCAUCCUCCAUGAAUUUGCUCACAUCUGCGGUCUACUGUCACUCAUUCUUUCCUUCUCUUCCUGAGGGCUUGUGUGACUUAUGUUCUUGGCUUUCUCUUAGGAACAUGGUGCAGCUUGGCCCUGCAUUAUCCAUCUGGAAAAACAGAUCAUAAAACAGUCCUUCUCUGUACUAAGUGCUAAAGUAGGAGGAAGGGCAUAAGUCAGCUCCCUGAGCUAUAUAUCCUUGUUUUCAGGAGCUGAGCUAGACACAAGCAGAACUUGCAAAUAAUUUACAUUUCUUUCUGCUGAGGUGGUUCAGAAUAAGUUGCAACAAACAUGAACAGGAAUGGUGCAGUAAAU
rnacentral:lncRNA from 1 species